CUGACACAGGGAGGUAGUGACAAUAAAUAACAAUGCCGGGCCUUUCUAGGUCUGGCAAUUGGAAUGAGAACAAUUUAAAUCCCUUAUCGAGGAUCAAUUGGAGGGCAAGUCUGGUGCCAGCAGCCGCGGUAAUUCCAGCUCCAAUAGCGUAUAUUAAAGUUGUUGCAGUUAAAAAGCUCGUAGUUGGAUUUCUGGUGGGAGCGGUCGGUGCGGUCCUCAGGAUUGCUACUCGUACCGUCUCUCGCCAUCCUUGGGUCGAUCCUGUCUGGCAUUAAGUUGUCGGGCAGGGGAUGCCCAUCGUUUACUGUGAAAAAAUUGAGUGUUCAAAGCAGGCUUAUGCCGUUGAAUAUAUUAGCAUGGAAUAAUAAGAUAGGACUUUGGUACUAUUUUGUUGGUUUGCGCACCAAAGUAAUGAUUAAUAGGGACAGUUGGGGGUAUUCGUAUUCCGUUGUCAGAGGUGAAAUUCUUGGAUUUCCGGAAGACGAACUACUGCGAAAGCAUUUACCAAGGAUG
rnacentral:rRNA from 1 species